AAAGGAAGUGUCUGUUGGGCUUACUGUC
rnacentral:piRNA from 1 species